UACGUAGGGUGCAAGCGUUAAUCGGAAUUACUGGGCGUAAAGCGUGCGCAGGCGGUUUUGUAAGUAAGGUGUGAAAUCCCCGGGCUUAACCUGGGAACUGCAUUUGUGACUGCAAGGCUGGAGUGCGGCAGAGGGGGAUGGAAUUCCGCGUGUAGCAGUGAAAUGCGUAGAUAUGCGGAGGAACACCGAUGGCGAAGGCAAUCCCCUGGGCCUGCACUGACGCUCAUGCACGAAAGCGUGGGGAGCAAACAGG
rnacentral:rRNA from 1 species